rnacentral:lncRNA from 1 species
AUGCCGCGGCCCUGCGGGGAUGCAGGCGAGCUCCGAAGCCUAGAUCAGGAAAGCUUUCUUCCCUUGGUUUCCCAGCCUUCUCCCUCUGAGUUCUUGACCCAACGCCGCCGCUCCGUUUCUCCAGUUUCCUGGGCCCCACGCAGAGCACGAAGGGAGCAGCAUCCGGGCCCUUCCUGGCCUGAAGCCGUCGCGCCUCUGUACGGACCCCAGCCGGCGCAAGGCGGGAAAGGAGCAGCAUCCGGGCUCUUCCCGGGUUUGCGCUCAGGGCCCAGCGUGAGGCCUGCGCUGUUCCCGAGCGGCGCCGUUGGGUGGCUUCGGAAGGAAGGGAAAGUGAGUCCUUGCACGUCCCCGAAGCCGCGAAGAGUCCAGCUUCGUCUCGGGAGACAAGAAGGCCUCGCGUUUCCUCAUUCGGUUCCUGCCAGAGUCUCUCCGCUUCUGGCGUUCGUGUGGCGCGGUCUGAGCUGCCUGCAGCCACCACCUGACUUCCCGGCGAGGGCCUCGAAUCCAACACUUGAGGAAACCCAGGCUGGAGUGCAGUGGUGUGAUCUUGGCUCAUGGCAACCUCCACCUCCCGGGCUCAAGUGAUUCUCCUGCCUUAGCCUCCUGAGUAGCUGAAAUUACAGGUACAUGCCACCAUGCGGGGCUAAUUUUUGUAUUUUAGUGGAGACGGGUUUUCACCAUACUGGCCAGGUUAGUCUCUAACUCCUGAUCUCAUAAUCUGCCCACCUUGGCCUGCCAAAGUGCUGAGAUUAUAGGCAUGAGCCACUGCGUCCAGCCUCUCCUGUUUUUUCUUUUUUAACUUGCAUAAGUGAACAAGGACUUGGUAUAAUUAUCAAUAUUAGAAAUUACUGACAUUGGCUGGGCACGAUGGCUCACACCUAUAAUCCCAGCACUUUGGGAGGCCAAGGCAGGCAGAUCUCCCGAGGUCAGAAGUUGGAGAUCAGCUUAGUUAGCAUGGUGAAACCCCGUCUCUACUGAAAAUACAGAAAUUAGCUGGGCGUGGUGGCAAAAAGAAAAAAAGAAAUUACUGACAUUAUUUAGUUAUAUCUAGAAUCACAGAAUCAAAGAAGAGACUUUUAAAUUCAUCUGAUCUGGCUUCUCCAUCUUGCAGGUGAAAAAAUAGGCCUAGAAGGGUGUUAGCAGCAAUAAUGGUAAGAAAAA